AUUGACUUCACUGGAUCCAGGAAUUCAUCCCAUAUAUUGUAAAACAACAAUGAACAGGCAGGAAAAAUGGAGGUUUGGAGGUGGAAGUGUUGGCCAAUAAACAGCAUUGGGGGUAGAAGUGCUGGCUAAUAAGCAACACCCAGAAGGAGCCAGUCAGACUGAAUGAUGAAUCAGAAACAAAUAUAUGGAAUACUUUUUGCAUCUCCAGCAUGUGUGCGGUAUCCCAUUGAGUUGGCUCAUUUAUGGCUCCAUGAAUCAUCCCAAGUCUACUCAGACAAGCUUAUGGAAGAAAAGGAUAUUGAACGUUUUAACAAAGUUCUCAUUGAUACUGCAAAAAGAUGCUUUGAGCCUCCAUGAACUGACACAGCUGUAUUAAUACAUUUCUUUCUGGAGAAGUUACAGCGUGGCAAAACUGUUACCACAAUUGCAUUCAUUGGGCCCCUGGAUGGCAGUUACAUCAGAGAAGACAAAGACCAAAG
rnacentral:lncRNA from 1 species